rnacentral:rRNA from 1 species
UACGAAGGGUGCAAGCGUUAAUCGGAAUUACUGGGCGUAAAGGGUGCGUAGGCGGUUGUUUAAGUCUGUCGUGAAAUCCCCGGGCUCAACCUGGGAAUGGCGAUGGAUACUGAGCAGCUAGAGUGUGUCAGAGGAUGGUGGAAUUCCCGGUGUAGCGGUGAAAUGCGUAGAGAUCCGGAGGAACACCGACGGCGUAGGCAGCGCCCUAGACGAGACCUGACGCUCAGGCACGAAAGCGCGGGGAGCGAACAGG